ensembl:snRNA U7 U7 small nuclear RNA
AAAUGUGCUCUUUUAGUAUUUUUCCAGUAGGUUUUCACAAGGAGGAAAUGCCAAA